CUACAAUAUCGCGCUAAAUUUUGUUAGGUACCUAAUAAUUAAGUAGUUUUCUACCUUAAAUAGUAUUGGGAAGCUUGGCCACCUGUCAAAAUAUUUAUCAAUUACCGUGUUUACCCUGCUGACCGUUAUAGAAUCAGUUAGACUCUAUCUAGGACAUUAUGGAAAUUUAUCCUGCAGAGUCCCCGAGUUGGCUGG